rnacentral:rRNA from 1 species
GACCUCAAAUCAGGUAGGACUACCCGCUGAACUUAAGCAUAUCAAUAAGCGGAGGAAAAGAAACUAACAAGGAUUCCCCUAGUAACUGCGAGUGAAGCGGGAAAAGCUCAAAUUUAAAAUCUGGCGGUCUUUGGCCGUCCGAGUUGUAGUCUGGAGAAGUGCUUUCCGCGCUGGACCGUGUAC